rnacentral:rRNA from 1 species
UACGAGGGAGGGCUAGCGUUGUUCGGAAUUACUGGGCGUAAAGCGUGCGCAGGCGGCUUCCCAAGUCAGUGGUGAAAGCCCGGAGCUCAACUCCGGAAAUGCCAUUGAAACUGUGAAGCUUGAGAACGAGAGAGGUGAGUGGAAUUCCCAGUGUAGAGGUGAAAUUCGUAGAUAUUGGGAAGAACACCAGUGGCGAAGGCGGCUCACUGGCUCGUAACUGACGCUCAUGCACGACAGCGUGGGGAUCAAACAGG